rnacentral:rRNA from 1 species
CCUACGGGUGGCAGCAGUGGGGAAUAUUGGACAAUGGGGGGAACCCUGAUCCAGCCAUGCCGCGUGUGUGAAGAAGGCCCUCGGGUUGUAAAGCACUUUCAGUGAGGAAGAACGCCUGGUGGUUAAUACCCAUCAGGAAAGACAUCACUCACAGAAGAAGCACCGGCUAACUCCGUGCCAGCAGCCGCGGUAAUACGGAGGGUGCGAGCGUUAAUCGGAAUUACUGGGCGUAAAGCGCGCGUAGGUGGCUUGGUAAGCCGGUUGUGAAAGCCCCGGGCUCAACCUGGGAACGGCAUCCGGAACUGUCAAGCUAGAGUGCAGGAGAGGAAGGUAGAAUUCCCGGUGUAGCGGUGAAAUGCGUAGAGAUCGGGAGGAAUACCAGUGGCGAAGGCGGCCUUCUGGACUGACACUGACACUGAGGUGCGAAAGCGUGGGUAGCAAACAGGAUUAGAUACCCCAGUAGUC